rnacentral:rRNA from 1 species
UACGUAGGGGCCUAGCGUUGUCCGGAUUUAUUGGGCGUAAAGAGCUCGUAGGCGGUUUGGUGAGUCGGGUGUGAAAUCUCCACGCUCAACGUGGAGGGGCCACCCGAUACUGCCAUGACUAGAGUCCGGUAGGGGAGUGUGGAAUUCCCGGUGUAGCGGUGAAAUGCGCAGAUAUCAGGAGGAACACCGGUGGCGAAGGCGGGUCUCUGGGCCGAAACUGACGCUGAGGAGCGAAAGCGUGGGGAGCAAACAGG